UACGGAGGGUGCAAGCGUUAUCCGGAUUCACUGGGUUUAAAGGGUGCGUAGGCGGGUAAGUAAGUCCGUGGUGAAAUCUCUGAGCUUAACUCAGAAACUGCCAUUGAUACUAUCUGUCUUGAAUGUUGUGGAGGUGAGCGGAAUAUGUCAUGUAGCGGUGAAAUGCUUAGAUAUGACAUAGAACAUCGAUUGCGAAGGCAGCUCGCUGGACGGUA
rnacentral:rRNA from 1 species